UCUAUUGACAUCAGCAUCUUGACCAAUUUUGUAUGGUUUUAUGAUCUAUAAGAAGUAUUGGAAUUCCUUUGCCUUGAGGUUUGCUUAUCAGUUUUUGGUUUGCACUCAAUACUACAUUAUAGGCACAGCAGAUAUGUUAACUUUGUUUCGAGCAGGGAUACUGUUUUCCUACCCAUUUAAAUUUCAACAUAUCAGAAGAUGCUAUGCAAUCACACAAAUUUUGCAAUACAAAUUCACAUUUAGCCAUAUCUAUUUUUUAUUCUGACUUUCUCCUACAUACUUUUUUAUAUCACUCUUCAUUAUUUAGACUAGUAGCCCACGAACAUGUGAAUGUGUGCUUAGGAGAAGGGUUGGGUUGGUUGAACUGUAAAUAAAGUUGAACGUCAUAGGAGAAGUCUGUGAGGGAAAAAUUCGGUGUUUUUUCGUUCAUCGUUACCAUAAUCUUCCCUAUUUCUUAAAGCUGUUUUAGUCUGUCUUAUAUAUUUUUAUUUUCGUUAUUUCAUAAUUGAGAAAGAAGUUUCUCUUAAUAAAAUGAUAGAUUAUCUGUUGUGAAAUUAUUCUUUUCUGAACUCUCUACUGCAUAAUAAUACUCAAUAUUUAUAAUCUGGGUUCUUGAUAGUUUGUAUUACUGCAUAAUAAGUCCUCAUCGUACUUAUUUCUUUUAGUUUUUUGCUUUAUAUUCAUUCUACUGAUACCUCUUCAUUUUUAGUAUUCGAUGCAAUACUCAGAAGUCAAUUGUCCAAUUGAUUACAGGCAUGUGUGCACUUGUUAAGAGGGUCCAAAGAGAUGACGUUGGGCGCAACAGAUGUAUGGGAACAUUGGGCGGUACUAUUAUUGGGUCUGGCAUUGACAUUGUGAGAUUAUAUUUUGAGCAAGUAGAAGAGCACGACUUUUAUGUGAAUGGUAGAAGACUUUUUGAAGAGUCAGAAGCAGAAGGAACUCUCCUGUAUCCUGGUAGGUUUGUCAAAACUGUAAAAUGAAUAUAGUUCAGGUAUACAUCAAGCUAUACCUAAGUAAUUGGACCAUCAAGGAUGGAUGUAGCUUAUUUAUACAUGUACCAUUAUCUCUUUGAAUCUUUGCAUGUCACUGAUAGAUCCAUCAUUUAGUUAUUCCUAGCCUGGUCCAAAUGUCUUUCAAGUGAACGAUUCUUCAUUGCAUGUAGAUUCUUAUAUGAGCUUGAAAUGAAAAUGUCAUGCCUUAAAUUUUACUUUUGGAUGGGAGAACAGGUACAACUUUAUUUGAACUUAGUGUGCAUAAUACUACCAGCCUUUGUACCCAUGCGGUACCGCGAUGAAAGAGUCACCAUCUAUUCUUCCUUUCUAAGAUUUCUCUUCAAUUCCUUAUCUCUCUUUUUGCCUCUUUGGCUUUCCAGCAAUAAUAUCCUUCUUCGGUGGAGUUUUCUAGCCAAGAGUUUGUAGAGCUAUUUAUUCAAUUGCAGACAUUUCUGGGACAUUUCUAACAGAAGGACAAAUAUUCAAUUUUUAAAGAACAUAUUGUGAACCUCUUUCAGAUAUGACUCUGUCCGAGAAGGGAUGAACUUGCAUCAGGGUUUCAGAACUACACCUAAUCAUCCCGCAUUGGUUCUAUUCCCAAUUCAUAACUCGAAAUUUCUUCUGGUCCUUUGGUAAUUGGGCUAUAAGUUAUAACUGUGAAAAUUAGAAAUGGCAAAAUAGGAAUAACAAAUUAGUUUACCAUUUCAUAAAGCGUAUGUAUAUAUAAUAUGUUAUAAAUAUAUUGCAACUCUUAAUUUCUAGUUUAUCCCUUUCUUCCAAUGGAUCCUUGGGUUAGCAAGGUCUGCUGGAUAGCCAGUAUUGAGUAGUGCCUUUUUAUGGGAGAUAUGAACUUUGUUGAAUGAAAGUAGAGAUAAAAAUCAUUAUGAUUUGGUUGAUCUUGAAAAUAAUUUAUCACUUGCACAUCAUAGAUGAUUGCCAACCCUAAUUUGUUUCAACUGAGUGUCCUAGGCGGUGCACCAUCAGAAUUUUGAACUCACACAUAUUAAUUGGGAUGAUGUGCUCCUCUUGCCCAAUAAGUGUUUGGCAGUCUUGUGCAAGUUAUGGAAGUGUGCAAGUAUUUGGUAUGCACAAGUGUGCUAGUGAUAUACAGUAAAGUGGUAUAAGAGUAGUGUUUUUUUUUUCUUUUGGGGGGAUGAAAGAUACUUCAUCAGAAAAACAAGCAACAGAGAGGCAUUACAAUGGGUACAACAGAAAAAAGAGAAGAGUACAACUAAACAUAGGAUAGGAGAUGAUGGUAUGGAUAAGAUGAGAUGAAGUUUUAACAGCUAAACCGCCCUCCCAACACCGCACAUGGGAUCAAUUUCUUGGAGGACAAGGAGAGUCUCUUGAUAAGAUGUGCACCAAGAUGGACCGGCUCACCCAAACAUCGUUGCUCAUCCUCCUUUUGACAAGAGAUUCCUGAGUAUCUGCAACAGCAUUUGCUGAGUGGCAAACCCAGCACCAAUUGACUCCUGUAACUCAUGAAGGCAAGUCUAGGUAGGAUAUAUCAUCCAAUUGCCUUUGAAAAUUUUGCCCUUUAUGCUGCGUAUGAGAUCGCUGGAAUCAGAUUUGUGUUUUGAACCUAUUGUGGGCACUAAGGGGACAAAGUGAAGUAUUAUUCAUCCAAGGUUUGAUUUGGCACAAGAUCAACUCCCCUACUUGUUGAAUUUAAGGACGUGGCCAGGGGUCUAAGCUGCAAAUGGAAUUGAUGGCUACCAGGUAGGCUGUUGCCUUUAUUUCGACCAUUGAUUUUGUAGCUUCUCACAUUUGAUCCAACGCUUUCCCAGCUGUAUGGUGGGGACAGAGGCUGAGAUAUGGUUUCCACCUCGGGGAUCCUGGUGGUUGAUUCUCUUCAAAAUGGUUAUUGAUUGUCCUGAAGUGCAUCCAGCGAAAUCAGAUCAGCAGGACAUCAUUAAAUCAGAUCUUUCUGUAGUGGAUCUUGAUCAGUUUAUUAGAUUGCAGAAAGAGGGCUUAGCAGCUGAAUCACUCUCUCCUCUCGUAGCGGGCCCCUUUUCUUUCCCCCGCUGGCAUGAAGAAAGGGUCCAUUUCACUAGCUCUUCUUCUUGUGAGAUAAAUAGAGAGGUGCGCUUAACCACCUCUUAAUUUUAUUUGUUUGCAGGGCAUCUCACACAGAGACUGGUAAAGGAAACCGGGAGGUGGAGCUGGGAGCUAUUGGAUGCUUGGUGUGCAUAUGAGAGUUGUAAAUAGGUGUGUACUCUGUACAUGCAGCUUAUGUGUAACGGUGUAAGCCUUGCGUAGGAUCUUCAUUCAGCCUUGCGUUUCCUUUGGAGGCUGCAUUACUGCAGAAUGGGCUUAGUUAAGCACACCAUCAAAGGUUUGUUCCAGGAAGUACUAAAUUUCUACAUGACUCUGUGAAAGUUGAUUUGCUAUCCAGAUAAGCAUGUUAUGAUAAAUCUUGUAUGUUUCUUAGUAUGUUAUGCAUGCAACGUAUGUAUUUUGAUCUUAGAAAAACUAUACAUGUCUGUUGUAAGAAUGACAAAAGGAUGCAAUUGUUUGAAAAAAUAGUGCAACUUUAUUCA